rnacentral:lncRNA from 1 species
AAACAUGUCAGGUAGCAAGUCGUAAAAAGGAGAGGAGGGGCUCCUGGGAACAGGGCUCAGAGGCAGGCGAGGUCCCUGAUUCACUCACUCACUCACUCAUUCAUUCGUUCCCACACACACUAAGCAGACAUGUGCCCAGCACCUCCUUUGUGCCAGGCCCCAUCUGGAUGUCCAUGCCAGGAGAGAGGCAGGCAGACCUGGGCCUCCCAGGAUGGAGGACAGACGAAGACCACUGAGCAUGAUGAGAGGGGAAAAGCUGAAAUGUGAGUGGGAAGCUCCUGCUCACCACGGCAGCCCCCUGGCUAGCACGGCCUGGCAGAGUCCAUACGGAAGGAAGGAACCAGGUUCUAUGGGAUCAUAGAGGAGCGGACGUGAUGCAGCCUGGAAAAGGCGCCCUGGAGCUGAGGGUAGGGAUGCCAAUAGGCAUUAGCCAGGCUGUGGGUGGGAGGUGGGGAGAGGGGAUCCCUGCAAGAGGCACCAAGACACAAAAAGCAGCUUCCUGGAGGGGAGGUUCGGAGGUCUCUGAGCAUCCUAUGAAAUCCCAUAGUGCUUGGCCUUGGAUCUUCCCAGGAAGCAUGAGACCCAGCCAAGCUGAGGACGAGGCUGAGACUCUGGCAGGCGCAUGGUGACCCCUUCCUGAGGACUUCCAGAGGGAUGGGUGGAGAAGGACAUGAGAGGUACCUUCCUCCCAUCCUCUGCCAUCUUGGUACUUGGUGGACACCCCAUAGGGUCCCCCAGUCCUUCCUGCACUGCUCUGACCCUGUGAAAGGACCAUGAGUUGGUUGUACUCUGAAAAGUCUCCCAACCCCAAUAUAGGCUGACCCAGCAAAGACUCCGCUUAUCCCCAUUUUACCAAUGGGGAAACUGAGGCUCCCCACCGUCAGGUGACUGCCUUAAGGUCUCACAACAAACUCACACCAGGGCCGAUUCCAGGGUGUUCCACUUUUCCAGUGACUAUCAUCUUGGGCCAUGGCAGGCCCGUGACUUGGAGGAGAUGAGAAGGAAGUGGGGAAGAGCUUGGUCUUCAAAAAUAGCAGGCAGGAAGGAUCUGGAUCAGCACAGGGGAUUGGACUUGGCAGCUUGGACCUUGAUGGUAGGGGACAGGACCAUGAUGGGGGUGAACAGCCAUCCAACCUAGACCCUUUUUGCUCCUAACACUCCCAUCCCACUCUCAGCAUAAUGUAGUGGGAAGUCAGGAGGGUUCUGCAGUAUCUGUGGGAAGGACCCAUCACGGCCUGUGGUCUUCCUCGCCUACUGUUGGCUCCUUUCUUUGAGUCAGAAGCAGCUGGCUCAGGCCAGGCGGGGUGGCUCAUGCCUGUAAUUCCAGCACUUUAGGAGGCCAAGGCAGGUGGAUCGCUUGAGGCCAGGAAUUCGAGACCAGCCUGGCCAACAUGGUGAAACCCCAUCUCUACUAAAAAUACAAAAAAAAUUAGCUUGACAUGGUGGCUCACGCCUGUAAUCCCUUAGCUACUCAGGAGGCUGAGGCAGGAGAAUCACUUGAACCUGGGAGGUGGAGGUUACAGUGAGCCAAGAUCGUGCCAUUGCACUCCAGCCUGGACAAUAGAGUGAGACUCUGUCUCAAAACAAAUAAACAACAACAACAACAACAAAAAAAAAAAAAAAAAAAAGAAAGAAAAAAUAAAAAAAGAAAGAAAAGAAAAAGAAGAAGUAGCUGGCUCAGGUUCAAACUCCAGAGUUGGAGCCAGGGUUCACAGCCAGGCUGAUUCCUAAGUUCCGUACUCUGCCCUGCUGCGCUGCCUCCCCUAACCAAAGUAGCAAGCAAAGAUUUCUUAAAGAAGGAGACCAGCGUCAGCUUGAGUUAUGCACUACUGUGAAUUGGCUCCCAAGCUUCCCCCACCUCAUAUGUGUUCACUUUGCACUCUUUGACGACCCAGGGUAUAGGACAGAAACUGCAAAUAUAAAAAUCCCAGAGAAGUUCUCAUUUGCCUCCUGUUGAGGGAAAAGAAUGGUGGGCUGGGGGCGCUUGAAAGUGUUGGGGCACUGGCUGCCUGGCUGCCUCCUGAAGUGGGGGGAGUAUGUGUUAGGGGAGCUGAUGGUCUCCUGUUGAGAACACAACUGCCAUCUCAGAGGGGCCAACCCAAGGCCGGGCACGAUGGCUCACACCUGUAAUCCCAGCACUUUGGGAGGCCGAGGCAGGUGGAUCACCUGAGGUCAGGGGCUCAAGACCAGCCUGGCCAACUUGGUGAAACCCUGUCUCUACUAAAAAUAUAAAAAUUAGCCAGGCGUGGUGGCGGGCACCUAUAAUCCCAGCUACUUGGGAGGCUGAAGCAGGAGAAUCGCUUGAACCCGGGAAGCAGAGGUUGCAGUGAGCUGAGGUCGUGCCACUGCACUCCAGCCUGGGCAGCAGAGCGAGACUCUGUCUCAAAAAUAAUAAUAAAAAAAAAAAAUGAAAGAGGGGCCAAUCCAGCCUCCAACUCUCCUAGCCUAGGGUGAGGGGUGAGCUUGUGAUCAGGAGAGUCAGGGGUGCUCAGAGGGGCACCCCAAAACCAGGAAAUAUCCAUUGUGCCCACUUAUGCCUGUCUCUGCCCCAAAUGGAGACAUUAAGCUCUCCCCGGAGAGGUCUUCAUGGCCUGAUUGGCUUUGGGCAGCUAUGGCUAGUGUUCACUGGCUGGUUCAGGCACCAAUCAGGAGCCAUCUGUGCCUUUCCACCAAUGAGGUUGACCUCCUGGGUCUACCUCCAUGUUCAGCUCAGCUCCAGCCCUGCAGGGAAAGGCUUGGACAGCACCUUGCCCUCUGCAGGAAACACCCAGGGCCAUGCCAAGGAAACUGUGCUCCUUCCAGUCCCUAGCGGCAAGGUGCCCUGAGAGGUGGCAGCAUCUUUUGUCUUCUCAUCCAAACAGACUGCCAGUGGCCGGGCUCGGUGGCUCACGCCUGUAAUCCCAACACUUUGGGAGGCUGAGGACAGAGGAUCACUUGAGGUCAGGAGUUCGAGACCAGCACCAGCCUGGCCAACACGGUGAAACCCCGUCUCUCCUAAAAAUACAAAAAUUAGCCAGAUGUGGUGACAGACGCCUGUAGUUCCAGCUAUUUGGGAGGCUGAGGAAGGAGAAUUGCUUGAACUCGGGAGGCAGAGGUUGCAGUGAGCCCAGAUCACGCCAGUGCACUCCAGCCUGAGAGACAGAGUGAGACGCCUUCUCAAAAAGAAAGAAAAAAGAAACAGCCUGCCAAAAGAGCUUGGUCCAGGCACCACCUGGCUUCUAGGACUCUCUUCCUUCCUUAGCAAACAGAAUCAAAGUUUUACUAGGCGCCAAGUUCGGUGAUAAAAAGUGAUGUUACAGAGGUGAAUCAGAUACCACAUCUGCCCUGGAGGUGCUAAAAGUCAAGUUGGUAGUGGUGAUCGGAGGAUUUUCGGGGAGGAACAGACCUACAAACAGACAAGGACAGUCAACUGCUACUAGAUGGAGGGCCAAGGACAGGAGGAGGGAUCAGCUCUGUGUAGGGAGGGAGACAGGGAGGGCGGGCAGGGGGCAUGCAGAGAAUCCUGGAAUCUUUGCCCUGGAAGGGACAUCAGGAAGCAAAAGCCAACCCUCUCAUUUUGUGGAUGGGGAAACUGAGGCCCAGACUGGGGAAGUGACGUGGCCAGGGUCGCUCGGUGAGAUAGAGGCAGGCUCUCAGACUCCUGAAUCCCAACCAGGGCCCUUUUGAUGGUGCCAGAUGCCCUUCCUGGUUUUCUGUGUCCCAAUCCUUGUGUCCUAACUCCACUUUUGGAAAAACAUUUGCCAUCUCUAUCCAGCGGUCACCUAAGAGUUGCCCACUCAGGAGCCGGGCGCUGCCAGCCCUUCCUCCAGAGGCGGCGUGGCCUCUUCUCAGGCCUAGAAUGGGGUGGUUGCGUUUCUCUCUCUCUCUCUAUCUCUCUCUUGCAUUUUUGUGAAUCUAAUGAUGAACUUAUACUACCACACUUUUCCCUUCUCUUACACACCUUACCUACUAAAGGAGGAAGUGCCACUUUAUUGAAGCCCAGC